UCUUCGGCAGAUCAUCAACCAAGAGACCCUUAUCCGGUUAGCCGUGGUCAAGAAUGUUACAACAGUAGUAGACGACGUUAAUUCUGUGAAGCGAAGCAUGGCGUCUACAGAUACGAUUGACUCCACGCUACAGCAGACUCUCAAUACACUGAAAGGACAGGUUGAUUCGUUAAUUGUAGACACUACUUUAGCGCAGAAAGUAGAGACAUUACAAAGAUAGGUUUAUACUCUAGGACAGGGCAAAACUUUGGAGCAGAAAAUAGAAACAUUAGAAAGACAGUUUACUAAUCUAAGUCAGGAUAACGCUUUACAACGGAAGGUAGAAACAUUACAAAGAAAGUUUGAUUCUCUGGCUCAGGAGCAGACAAUAGAAAACAAGAAUUGGCAGAAAAAGAUUCAGGAAAUUGAACAGAAUUUUAUAGAAACAUCGUCGAAGUUAACGAUUUUCUAUAUAACAGAACAUUGCAAACCUUUAAAAAAGAUUGUAAGGACCACUAUCUACAAGGACAAACAUAGUCCGGUGUAUAUAAAAUUAGUCCCUUCGGUAAUGAGAGUCAGAUAGACGUGUACUGUGAUAUGGUGACAGAAGGCGGAGGGUGGACAGCAAUUCAGAAACGGGUGAGCGGAUCAGUGAGUUUUAACAGAACGUGGGUGGAGUACAAGAAUGGGUUCGGGAGCGCUUACGACUCUUACUGGAUUGGAAAUGACGCUAUUCACCAGCUGACAAAGGGAAGGAACUCUUCCCUAUACGUUUCCAUUACAUUACGAAAUGGCAGAACUUUGUAUGAAGUCUAUCAACAGUUUUCUAUUUAUGAUGAAACAGAAAACUACAGAUUCCUUUUU